AAAAGAGAAUGACACAUGUGCUGUUUCCUUUUCCAGUUGUAAAGGGGUCAGGAGCCAGGCAAGGAGAGCCUGAACAAGAGCCGCAUUUUCCUGGGCUCUUCCAGCUGUUCUGUUCAAUCCCGCCGUCGGUUCUGAGCAGGGAAGAGAGACUGUCAACACAAAUAAGGCAUUUUUCAAAGGCGUAAAUUAUGAGUUACCAAAACAAUACGACAUCUCAACCACAUGGAGACAUCGAGAACUCCUCAGCUGGAGCAGAUGUGGCUGUUAUUGGAGGUGUGAUUGCUGCAGUGGUAUUUGUCCUCAUUUGCCUACUGGUUGUGAUGGUCCGGUACAUGUACAGGCAUAAGGGCACCUACCACACCAAUGAGGCAAAAGGAACUGAGUUUGCUGAAAGUGCUGAUGCUGCUUUGAAAAAUGACCCUGCUCUCCAGGAAGCUGUGGAUGAGAGUAAAAAGGAAUAUUUCAUCUGAGAGGCAAGGAUUUCCAUGGAGACUUCCCGAAGGGAAUCAAUCAGAAAUACUACAUCAACAAAAGUGCUAAGAGAUGGAUAAUAUGAGGAUACAGGCAAGCAUCCUAAUUGAAAAGUAUCUCUUUAUUUUGUCACUGGGUUGUUUCUUUUUCUCUGCCUGUGAAGAGCUAAAUGCCAGAUACUUGCCUGUUGAUUUUAUUAGCAACACAGCUGGUCACAGUUGAAAUCAAUAUCAGAUAAGAAGAAACAAAAUCUCAGUAUGAGUGAUACACCAAAACCAGAUAACGAUAGCAAAUGUCAAGCCUUGACAUUUGGUGAAAAUAGCAGAUGCCAAUGGAAAACAUCCUCUUGGAGUUAAUGAUGCAUCCUAUGCUGAUAUUAUACAGAACUACCUGAAAUUGAAUUUUAAAUGGUCACAGAAAAAACCAUUAAACUAGAUAAAGCUGAGGUAGCUGGAACAAAUAAGCUUUGUUGCCCAGAUAUCUCCCCCCUCCUCUUAAAAGUGCAGUUUUAUUGGCACAGGGGAGUUUGUUUGUUGGGAAUUUAGAUUGGGACUUUUCUUUUUUGAAUUUUUAGAAUUUUAAAAACAUAAAAGUCAAAGAGACUUCAAAGAAACAAAACUGUUGAAAACCAUGGAAAAUGUAAGAAUGAAGGAUUUAUUUCUAACUUGCUCUGCAUGGCAGCUUGAGAACUGCAAAAUGUUGGAAUUUACACUGUAGAAUAUAAGUCAGUAGACUUGCAAAUAUAAUUCCAAUUAGUUGGUAGGUUCCCUGCAUGCAUGCAUAGAUAGAUGGGUAUUAAAAGGUAAAGCAUCUUGGUUUGAGCAGGCCUUUUGAAACAGUGGAGCUCAGCUAGAUUUUUUUCAAGUAAGAUAUUUUUGCCCAAGUAUUUAUUUAUUUAUUUUGCAUUGGAAAAGUCUCUCAGACACCCACUUGCAAGAUUUUGGAUUUCUGCAAGAAGAAGAAUUCAGUUCUGGUGCAUAUACUGAUAAAUCUUUUGUAAAUGCAACCAUGAGACUGUCACUAAAAAGAAGCUUGUUCAUCUGAAUGCCACUGGCUUGUAUUGAUGUCUCCAUCUAUAUCGACUCGGUAUAUCCUUUGCAUUGUCCUAGAUAAGAGAGUUACAUUGACCAUCAAUGCUUUAAUAUAAAUAAAUAAAUAGGUUAGUCACAGUGGUUCACAUGAAAAAAUCUUAUUCCUUGCCUAAAAAUCAAUGGUGAUGAGUUUCUUUAACCCAGUAAGCUAGCUUCCUAAUUGAAGUCCACAAUUAGCUCCGGAAAUAGGAUAAUUGUUUUCUGCACCUGCUCAUCCCCAGCUGCAAUGGUGCCCUGGACUACUGAAAAUAGAGUUGAAGAAAUACAAGAUAACAAAUAAGGCACUGAUGAGCUCUGCUCAACUCAAUAUGUUUUUUCCUGUGUUUCGAUCUAUAUAUAUAUAUAUAUAUAUAUAUAUAUAUAUAUAUAUAAAAUCGUGUGUGUGUGUGUAUAUAUAUAUAUACACUAUAUAUAUAUAUAUACUAUAUAUAUGUGUGUGUAUAUAUAUAUAUAUACACACACACACACACACACACAUAAAGUCUUCUACUACUGCUUUCAAGACACACUCAUGGUCACUUCUUGGCAUCAAAGCUUGAAAGCUCCUGGACUCCAGCAUACAUUACCAAUGUUGGCCACAAAAACGUUAUAGUGAAAAGACAUCAGCACAAGAAAAGACUGUGAUGACCCAAGUGGAGAACUGGGAUAUUUUCAUCCUUUCAAUCACAAAUGCAGUCUUUUCUCAGUACCUGAAGUAGAUGGACUUUGAAUUAUUCUUAAAAUACCAAUACCUUAGAUCUUGAAUCUUGAAUCUCCAUGUGUUUGCAUUUUAACCAAAGAAUAUCAAAAUCCUGCCAAAUUUACUAAAUGCUUAAGAUAUUUUUUCAUAACAUAUUGUUGCAUAGCCACAUUCUAUUCUGUGGCUAGUGCAGUACAACAUGCAUGCAAUCCAGCACUAGCAGAGCUCAAAUAUGACUGUUUUCUUCUAGGAUACGUUACUAUUUUAAUCUUUUUACGGCUUUUGAAAAAGGAAUCUGUUUUUAUUUUUCUGGGACAAGUGUUGGAGAAAUUAACUUAUCUUAGCUGUAAGACUGAGUUUGUAAAACUGAAGAUUCCUGACCCUCCAGCUCAAUAAGAAUGUAAGUAUUGCCUCUGAGGAGAGGGUAAAUAGGGUGACUUGAGCUCUGCUGCAUCUCUCACACAAGCCAUGGGAACACCAAAAAUCUUUCUUCAAGUGCUAUCAGGACCUAUAAAAGACUACCAACCUUUCAUCACCUUCUGUAUGCUUUUGUCUACCCAGAACUGCCUGAGGACAAACUUUUCUUUGUAAUGAAGACAGCCCAUGACAUCUGAAUGACUGGCAGAACUCUAAUGGCUUCAUCCUGCUAUUUUUUUACACAUACAAUAACUCUACUGUCUUGAGUCAUUCAAUUUAGUUGUAAAAAGAGUGCAUUACUAACUUCCUAUUGCUUUCAGAACUAAUAAUUAGCAAAACAUCCUUCUGCAAGCAACAUGCUGUGCUAAAGCAAAUACUAUGUACAGCAUCAAGAUGUCUCGGUUGGCAGCCGUAUCUUUUCGUAAGCCUUUAUCAAUUGAUUUUAACAAUUUGCUUCCUGAAUAGGAGAAGUAAGGAAACAGGCUCCUCUUUUGCUGAGGGUCCAGUUGUCCUGCGACUCUCUGGUGCCACAUUUCCCCAACCAUGCCUCCAACUCCCACAUGCAGUCACCCAGGCUCCCAGCAAGAUCCCCCUUGAUUUCCCCAUGGCAUCCCUACGACUGGCCAUUUACUUGCUUAUUCAUUUAUUUUUAUCACUGAGGAUGCUAUGUCUGCCUCUGAUGGCUAAGAGCCAAUUUUCACAAAAGUUUUAACUUUAGACUUCCCACCCAGUGUCAAGUUUGAUCAAACCUGCCCCACCUGGUCUGAGAUUGAUUUACAAAGUUUACAUUUGACACAUUUUUCACAGAAAAGGGGUCUAAAACUAGUACUGCAAACUCUGGUUAGUUAGUUAAAUUGAAUGCUCUAAACCUUCAGCGUUCACUAAACAAGAGAUCAGGAUGAUGAUUCCUGAAGCAGGAAUUUUGUCCUGAUUCCUUAAUUCUUUGUGAAAACUUCUGGAAUCCCACCGAGCACUGAAAGCUACAGCCCAUGUUUAGAAACACAAAUCAUUUUUCAAUAAUGUCCAAGAAAACCAUGCAUGAAAAAGAACAGUAUUUUUUGGAAGAGACAGAAUAAAUAUGAUCUUACAGGAAUACACAUUUUCUAAAGAUAUAUGGAAAUGACAAAAGUUAAACGUAAUAUUUCUGGUGACAUUGGUGAGUUUUAAGAGUGGAUCCAUGGAGUUUCCAAAUUCUCUCACUGAAAAAAAUAAAUAAAAUAUUGCUGGCAAAGAGAAAUGAAUCUCUUUUUAAACUGUCUCUUGUCAACGUUACGUAAACGUUAAAAAAAAAAAAAAUGAACUUGGCUUCCCAUAUUCUAUAUUCUCCUGUCCUGCCUUAACAUCUGGAACUGAAUUUCUUGUAAUUUUGUAUAAUACUUGAAUCCUCCCCUGCACAAAAACAACUGCUUAUUAGUGUCAGCACCUGUAGCUCAGCAGAGUAAGUCUAUCCAAAAGCAGUUAGUCCCAACCAGGUAUCUGGCUACCAUUUAUUGGACCUGGUACACAUUUUUUUCUUAGGCAUGGCCACUGUCAUUCCAGGUUUCCCUGGGGCCAAAGUGCCAUUGCACAUUAAUGCAGUCUUGCAGAGGAUUUAAACAUUUUUCUUCUUUUUAGAACAAAAGGACCAAAUCACUUUGUGAGUCUAUUAAAAAUAAUACCAUAGGAUUUCCCCAGAAACAUCAACAUGGAUUUUUCUUUUAAAUCAAAUCUAGAAAUCAUUGGAAGAACACCACAACGGGAAAAUAAAAACGACUGUUCUCAUUCAGCAGGGAAUGCAGAAAAAAUGCUGUAACAUUUAUAGCAGAAGGAUAAGUAGGAUAGCAUUGUAAGCCACAGCCUACGAGAAUUCCUUACAGAGUACAGGAAAUGCUAAUACAAGAUAUAAAUUAGUAAGAAGAUACAGAGUGGGAGAAGAUAACUAGAUGCCACUAAAGAUGGAGAGCAGUUUUGUUUUUUUAUCAAACAAAAUAGAUAGUGCUCUUUGAAAAAAUCAAAGUGCGUUUGUUGAAGGUAAAUGCUGACAACAAAUUUCUUUGAAUUAUAUGAGGUGUUUGAAUUCCUUGCAUGUGCCAGUCCAAUCAAAAAAUGUUAGAAAAUAAACACCAAAAGAGCACCCUUAUUAAAUAUAUUAAGAGCUGUUUAUUGCAUUUUCUAAAAUCUCUCAGUUCUUCACAUAAGAAGGCUUUGUGUGCUUUGAAAAUGCAGAAGCUUCACAGCAGCAGUUCAUAAAAGACAGAACACUAAAGAACCCCUGAACCAGCAAGGAACACAUAUUUAAGGUCUGGAAAUUCAGGUAGUUAAUAAAGGAAACUAAUGAUAUCAAAGGAAAAUUUAAAUGGUGAGUAAAAAUUCCAACCGUAUUACAAAGAAAUUAAAUGUUUAUGGUAGUAGAGGUCUUUCUCUAGUUCAAGAUAUUGUCAGUGACUGGAAAUAUGUAAUCAUUAUUCUAUGCGAUGGUUCCCUGUAUGGUUGGGAUAAAAUUCCACUGAAUUCAACAGAACAAGAAUUUCACUGACUAUAUUUAUUCUUCUUGCAAGAAAACUGUAUUCCCACCCAUGUCAGAAAGAAACACUCUAAGUUAAGGUAGAAAUCUUUAAAAGAGCUGAUCUUUCAGUAUAAUCUCAUUUUUUUACAUCAUUUUUCUGUUGUUUCAAUCUGUACAUAUGGUUGAAAGAAUCUUGUAUAUUGUAUUAAAGUCUAUUUGAAUUGCAGCAUUGCUAUGACAAGAAGAGCAGAUACAGUAUUCAAAGCUUACUGCUGAUUGUAUGUUAAAGCUGACUAUAAUGUUUGUAUUUUUCAAAGCUAUUAAUAUGCGGCUGGUGUAAAUUACUUUGAACCGAAAAAAAAAAGGCAAAAAUAUAAAUAAAUAAAUAACUUUAUAAUUAAAGUUGUAAUUUUCAGCAUUUAAAA